rfam:Nippostrongylus brasiliensis genome assembly, scaffold: NBR_scaffold0002872
ACAUCGGUAGCACAGUGGUCAGUGCAGUCUGCCGGAAACGGAAAGACGUGGGUCCAAUUCCCGUCCGAUGUC